rnacentral:rRNA from 1 species
GACGAACGCUGGCGGCGUGCUUAACACAUGCAAGUCGAACGGUAAGGCCCUUCGGGGUACACGAGUGGCGAACGGGUGAGUAACACGUGGGUGAUCUGCCCUGCACUUCGGGAUAAGCCUGGGAAACUGGGUCUAAUACCGGAUAGGACCACUGCCUGCAUGGGUGGUGGUGGAAAGCUUUUGCGGUGUGGGAUGGGCCCGCGGCCUAUCAGCUUGUUGGUGGGGGGAUGGCCUACCAAGGCGACGACGGGUAGCCGGCCUGAGAGGGUGACCGGCCACACUGGGACUGAGAUACGGCGCGGACUCCUACGGGAGGCAGCAGUGGGGAAUAUUGCACAAUGGGCGCAAGCCUGAUGCAGCGACGCCGCGUGAGGGAUGACGGCCUUCGGGUUGUAAACCUCUUUCAGCACCGACGAAGCGCAAGUGACGGUAGGUGCAGAAGAAGGACCGGCCAACUACGUGCCAGCCGCCGCGGUAA